UACGGAGGAUGCAAGCGUUAUCCGGAAUGAUUGGGCGUAAAGCGUCCGCAGGUGGCUAUGUAAGUCUGCUGUUAAAGAGUGAGGCUCAACCUCAUAAGAGCAGUGGAAACUACAUAGCUAGAGUGCGUUCGGGGCAGAGGGAAUUCCUGGUGUAGCGGUGAAAUGCGUAGAUAUCAAGAAGAACACCGGUGGCGAAAGCGCUCUGCUAGGCCGCAACUGACACUGAGGGACGAAAGCUAGGGGAGCGAAUGGG
rnacentral:rRNA from 1 species